UACGGAGGGAGCUAGCGUUAUUCGGAAUUACUGGGCGUAAAGCGCACGUAGGCGGCUUUGUAAGUAAGAGGUGAAAGCCCAGAGCUCAACCCUGGAAUUGCCUUUUAGACUGCAUCGCUUGAAUCAUGGAGAGGUCAGUGGAAUUCCGAGUGUAGAGGUGAAAUUCGUAGAUAUUCGGAAGAACACCAGUGGCGAAGGCGGCUGACUGGACAUGUAUUGACGCUGAGGUGCGAAAGCGUGGGGAGCAAACAGG
rnacentral:rRNA from 1 species